GAACGGGUGAGUAACACGUGGGUGAUCUGCCCUGCACUUCGGGAUAAGCCUGGGAAACUGGGUCUAAUACCGGAUAUGACCUCCUAUCGCAUGGUGGGUGGUGGAAAGAUUUAUCGGUGCAGGAUGGGCCCGCGGCCUAUCAGCUUGUUGGUGGGGUAAUGGCCUACCAAGGCGACGACGGGUAGCCGACCUGAGAGGGUGACCGGCCACACUGGGACUGAGACACGGCCCAGACUCCUACGGGAGGCAGCAGUGGGGAAUAUUGCACAAUGGGCGAAAGCCUGAUGCAGCGACGCCGCGUGAGGGACGACGGCCUUCGGGUUGUAAACCUCUUUCAGCAGGGACGAAGCGCAAGUGACGGUACCUGCAGAAGAGCACCGGCUAACUACGUGCCAGCAGCCGCGGUAAUACGUAGGGUGCAAGCGUUGUCCGGAAUUACUGGGCGUAAAGAGUUCGUACGCGGUUUGUCACGUCGUUUGUGAAAACUCACAGCUCACUGU
rnacentral:rRNA from 2 species